GCCGAGGUGGUGGAAUUGGUAGACACGCUGUCUUGAGGGGGCAGUGGGCGCAAGCCCGUGCGGGUUCGAGUCCCGCCCUCGGCA
rnacentral:tRNA from 1 species